GACGAACGCUGGCGGCGUGCUUAACACAUGCGAGUCGAACGGAAAGGCCCUGCUUUUGUGGGGUGCUCGAGUGGCGAACGGGUGAAUAACACGUGAGUAACCUGCCCUUGACUUUGGGAUAACUUCAGGAAACUGGGGCUAAUACCGGAUAGGAGCUCCUGCUGCAUGGUGGGGGUUGGAAAGUUUCGGCGGUUGGGGAUGGACUCGCGGCUUAUCAGCUUGUUGGUGGGGUAGUGGCUUACCAAGGCUUUGACGGGUAGCCGGCCUGAGAGGGUGACCGGCCACAUUGGGACUGAGAUACGGCCCAGACUCCUACGGGAGGCAGCAGUGGGGAAUAUUGCACAAUGGGCGGAAGCCUGAUGCAGCAACGCCGCGUGCGGGAUGACGGCCUUCGGGUUGUAAACCGCUUUCGCCUGUGACGAAGCGUGAGUGACGGUAAUGGGUAAAGAAGCACCGGCUAACUACGUG
rnacentral:rRNA from 1 species